rnacentral:rRNA from 1 species
AAGCAUAUAAGUAAGCGGAGGGGAAGAAACUAAACAGGAUUCCUUCAGUAAUGGCGAAUGAACAGGGAUCGGCUCAGCAUGGAAAUUGGGGCCAUUGGCCCUGAAUUGUAGUCUCAAGAUGUACUGCCAAAGGAGGCGCAGAUGUAAGCCUCUUGGAAAAGAGCAUCAGCGAGGGUGACAAUCCCGCUUGCCAUCUGCAGCCCCCCGUGCACGGUGUACCUUCUAAGAGUCACGUUCCUCGGGAUUGGAGCGCGAAGUGGGUGGUAAAUUUCAUCUACAGCUAAAUACUGGUUCGAGACCGAUAGCGAACAAGUACCAUGAGGGAAAGGUGAAAAGGACUUUGAAAAGAGAGUUAGAAGUGCCUGAACUUGCUGAAAGGGAAGCGAAUGGAACCAGUGUUGCUUGGCAAGAUUGUUGUGCACCACUGUGAGGGUCUGCUAUGUUAGCGCAAGCGGCAUGGUAGAGUCAGAGCAGGACUUGCACGGUGUUUCUUGCCUUGUGUGUCAGCGUCAGUUUGUGCGUGGGGAAGACGUCAAGGGCAUGGUAGCUUGCCCAUGGGCGUGUGAAUGUGCUUGCUCGAACACACGCAGGAACUGCAC